rnacentral:rRNA from 1 species
AUGUCAUCCUCCUCCGCUGCACCCAUGUCCAGCAUCAAUGGGCAGGUCACGGAGAAGCUCAUGAGGACGAACUAUGUCCUCUAGCAUGCACAAAUCACGCCACAACUCAUCGGUGCCGGUCUCUUCGGCUAUGCCGAUGGAACCAUCCCAGAGCCAGAGAAGACCAUCAUCACCAAGAACAAGGAAGGGAAAGAUGAAUCUGUCCUGAACCCUCUACAUCAUCCUUGGGUCAGGGAGGAUCAACAGGUACUUGGGCAUCUCCUGAAUAACUUAUCUCGAGAAGUUCUUGUCCAUGUCACCUCCAUCCGCAAGGCACACGAGCUCUGGACUGCACUUGGGAACAUGUUCUCGUCGCAGUCCAGAUCGCGUGUGAAAAAUAUCCGCAUUGCCCUCUCCAACGCGCAGAAGGGGACCCAAUCUGUGGGUACCUACUUCGCCUACAUGUGCUCCCUCGCCGUCGAGCUAGAUGCUGCUGGAAAGCCGCUGGACGAGGAUGAGGUGGUCUCCUACAUCACCGGCCGGCUGGACAUGGAGUAUCAGCCGUUGGUGUCGGCCCUUGUUGCCCGCACCGAGCCGGUCACCCUCGAAGAUCUGUUCGCUCAGAUGAGCAACUUUGAUCAGAGGGCGGCAUUGUUCCACAACGCCGCUGGGUUCAAGUCUUCCGCCAACGUCGCCCCCCAUGGUGGCCAUGGUGGGUCUCGCUACGACGGCCUGCAGAGGAACAAGGGCAAGCCCGGCGGCAACAGCAACAACACCAACACUCAGCGCUCCAGUGGCGGCGGUCGUCCCUCCUACACCAACAACAGGGGCCGCCGCCGCUCCUCCAAAACCUCCCGUCCAGAUGCCAUCUGA